GCCCUAGUAGUUUAAUGGAUAGAAUGUUAGAUUCCGAUUCUGAUGAUGGGGGUUCGAUUCCCUCCUAGGGCA
rnacentral:tRNA from 1 species